ACUCUCUGGUGCGUUUCAGGCUGUUCCCUGGCUGAGAGUGAAGACAGAACUAUAGCAUUCACCCCAAAAUUGGAGCAAAUUGAAACCUCUGUAAAUCUACCCUUGGGUCCUGUUUCUUCCUUGGUCACAGCGCAUCCCAAGUCAUCUCUGUGACAGACCUUCCUUAAUGGGGAAAUCUCCAGCUGCAAAUUAGCCCACAUUUUCAAGCAUUUCUUUGAAGCCAUCGGGGAACAACUCUCCAUCUUGAACCAGUGACUUCAGUGCCUUAGGGCUACACUGAAAGCUAAUGAACAACAGCAUCCUCACCUACAGCUAUGUACUUCCAGACAGUAUUUCAUGUCAAUGGGAAAAUAUCCAAUGGACUUUCACAGGAGAUGUUCAGAAGGUCUGGAGCACAGAGCUCAAUUGUUUAAGGAUUGGAAGAAGGAGGUUUUUAGAAAGCCUGAAAGUGAUCAUACCUUCACUCUCCAUCUCUGUCUGUUUUUAAGGAUAACAAAUGUGGUAACUGGAGGUGGAUGUCUGAUUUGCAUGCAAUGACUGCCAGUUUGCAGGGAGCUUUUUGCUGUCACUGGUGGGAAGAUAACGUUUAUUUUCAUUUAAUUGUAUUUUUGUGGGCAUAUCAUUAUGCCUCGUGAUUUUAAAUGAACCAGCAAAAUUUAACUAGUAACAAUCAUUAUAGUUUAAUACUCAUAGAUUUCAGUGAAAUGAGUGGUAAGAUACGUAUUAACUUUAAUAGCCACAAGACCAGACUUUAAUGGUACAUGACAUCACCUAAGAGUCUUUUAAAGAUAUUGCUUUAGAAUGAAAGAGGAAAAGUGUUUAAAGUUCUCUUCUUGUACAAGACAAAAGAUGUGGUUUUAUGUUAAGUUUGAAAAAAUUAUCACAUGACUUUGUAAAAUAAUUCAACUUAAUAGAUAAUCAGAUUUGCAGAUUCUCAUAUGGAUUACCAAACUAGUAACUACUUUCAUGGCAUUAUUACUAAAAAAAAGAAUUAUUAUUUGCAAAUCACAUAAAAAUAAGUAGAAGAAAUUUGAGAAGUCACUGUAGUGCACUGGGGUGAGAAGCAGUAGUAACUAUGUCAAAAACACUUGAAUGCGGAAGAUUCAACAUUUCAUAGAGGUUUUUUGUUUGUUUGUUUGUUUGUUUGUUUUUUAAGUAAUAAAGUCCUCCACUUUCCU
ensembl:lncRNA